rnacentral:lncRNA from 1 species
UUACAUACAUGUAUUUUUUUUAACAAAUUUGGUUGAAGAUUCAAUUUAAAAUCUACAAAAACAAAACUUUGGUUGGAAAAAGUGCAUUUAAAUGCAAAAUUAAAAUUAUCGAUUAUAAUAUUUAAACAAUCAUCGUCUUACAUAUAAUUAAUUUGAUAUCGAGAGAUUGUCUAGAUGAUUGAGUCAUGUUUAUAGAUAUAAUUUAUCACAACAUUUAGAAGAACAAUUAUUCCUUAACACAACCUCAUCACAAUCCUAGCUAGCUACUAAAAAGUAUUGUUUGCUCGACUAACCAACUUAAUUAUUUUUAUGCCAAUAAUAUAUAUAUAUUUGCAUGCAUGAAGUUGCCUCAUGGUUGGCCAUCAUUUCUACAUAAAGAUUUAUUUUCUCUAUUAACAAAUAACAAAUAACAAAAAAACCAUAAAAUUAAGAUUUGUUUUCUAAAAGAUUUUUUUUUUUUUUGCAAAACUAGAGAUAUGUUCUCACCAAAAGCGAAUGUAUAAUUUUUUCAAAAAAUAGGAUGACAUUUCAUUAGUUGCAAAUAUAAUAGAAUCCAAAAAAAAAACAACGGUGGAAGAACUAAUUUAAGAUGAAUUAUUAAAUCAAAUAUAUCGAUAAUUAGUAACAAAGUGAUUAAAUAAAAAGAUAAAUAUUAAUAUCAAUUACACAAAGAUAGGUUUGACAUUAAACGUUAAUUCAACAGUAUUGAACUUGCAUCAUAAUUCAAUUAAUACUAAUACGUGAAUAUAAAGUUCAACGAUUUCGAUUCUCCUCGUGAAAGGUUAAGUAACCUUGAUUCUUUUAUCGUUAUUUUUUUCAAUAUUUUAUGUUAUAAAUUUGGAUCAUAACAACUGUUUCCUCUUUGAAGAAAUCAACAAACAUGACCUUACAAUUUAAUUCUUCCUAUAAUAUUUUGAUAAGACAAAUAAAUUAUUAUUGUAAAAGUUGGCGUAGGAAAUCAAUCAAUAAUUUCCUGAAACCCAAUCAUAUUCUCCACACAUUCCUUAAUUUAUUUUAUAUUUGUUUUGAUUUUUUUUAGAGAAAGUUGUAAUCAAAUUAAAGUAUAGCCUUCACAUGUGAUCGUGGAAAACAAAUUCCACCUUCAUCAUCUUCCUUUUAUUCUACAAUCUGUCACGUUUGAUAUUUCAACUUGGAUUUGAAAUUUUUAGAAUCUUAUCAUAAGUCAAUAUUUUUCUUAGCUUAGCAGAAAAUAUAUUCAACAAAAUAUAUUUCUGAUUAAUUUAUUUUAAAGAAUAGUUUAUACGUUUAAGGAAAUGCAUUCCUCUCAUCUUCCUCACCCUCUCCAUUUUAGCCUCCAGAGGAUUUUUUUUUUCUUCUCUGCUUUCUUCCUGUCAUUUUCUGUUCCAUUGGGUGUGGAAGACUGGUAGGAGAAAUGAACAUUUCAAGCAAUGAUCAUAAUUUGGUAUAUGAACUGAAAGAGAAUGAGAAAUGGUGAAAGCUGAAAAGUAAAGUGGGGGAGGAAAUAACCAGUCGUGUCACCAAACUUGAUAACUUUAUAUACCUUAAAAAAUAUAAUCUAUACUUUAUAUAUUUUUGUUAGGUAAGUAAUGGUUAACCCAACUCUAAAUACCUAUUUAAUUUAUCAUUAACAAUGUAAAUUUCCAUAUAUGUUUUCCUUCUUCUAUACAUAAUUUUGUUUUGGGUUCUUCUAAGCAGAAUAAUAAUAAUUAAUAGAAAAAACUAUUACAUUUUAUGAAGAAAAAAAAAUCACUAAAAAAAGCAAAAGUUUAUUUAAGUUGAAUUUCCUGCUAAGGGUAAAUAUUUUGCACACUUUUCCAAUUUUUGCAAUCUUUGUUUCUUUUCCACACACGAUAUCUAAAUGUGGUUGUAAGGUCAAAAUUAAGUAAUAAAAUUAUACCAUUCAUCAUCAGCAAAAGAACUAUAUUAAUUAUCAAUUAAUUAUAGGUUAGGAUAUGCUUGGAUUACAUUUUCAAGUGUUUAAUUUAUAAAAUAAGUUAUUUUUCAAAAAAUAAAGUCUUUAGAAACCACUCAAAAUAUAAUUUUAAGUAUAUUUAAAAUAAAUUUUAGAAAAAAUAGUUUAAACUCAAAUAUGAAUUUAUUGAAAAAUAUUUUUUUCUUAAUUUAAUUCAAACGUACUCGUAGUUUUUUAAUAAAAUAAAAAUGGUAAAUUAAACAUUCUGCUGGAUCCACAUUUGAGUUAUUACAUCAAAUAAAUAAACACUUUAAACUGAUCACUUAAUUAACCGACGCAUUGGAUCAUCAAAUUGUGAGUUCUUCAUAACAAUUUUAAAAAAAAGACAAGGCUAGAGUGAAUAUUUACCAUUAACUAUUUGGUGAGUUCUACUCUCUCCUCGUUGACCUUGAAUUAUUUGUAUGAACUAGUUAGAAGAUCGUAUUAAUAAACUAACACAAAAUUAGUUUUUCGUUAUUCAUUAAUUAUAGGUUAUUUCACUGAAGAUUUAGAGUUGUACUAGUAAGUAAUCUUGAACCUAAUCAUUACGUGCAAGUUGAUUAUUCACAAGUUGUUCGUAAUUAAAAUUAGGUUAAAAGUUCAUUUUAACCCUAUAAUAAUUAAUAAUUUGUUUAUGGUCCAAUCUAAUAAUAAACUAAGUCUGCUCCCAAAGUUAGUAAGAUGGUAAGAACCUCAUUUUACUGCUAUAGUAUGGUUAUUGAAUAAUCGGCUACAAAGACUUGUUUUCAAUUCGCUUGUGCAAAUAUUCGAAGGUAAUACUAAGGGAGCAACGCCAAAUAUAUAACAAUCCUUGCACAUUGUGUAUUGGACGAAAUCGAUCAAUGCCGGGCAAGGAUAAACAAUGUAUAGGGUUUCAAGAAACAUAUCAUGAUCAUGAUGUGGUAAGGCAAGUGCCUAACUACCAUGACAUGUGGGUGUUUGCUUUUUUUUUGUAGCUAACUUUGUGUUAUUAAUUAAUGGUAUUCUCUCAACUGUAGGGAAAAUGAAAAGGAUAAUACAUCGUUUGUCAAAUGUACUAAUUACUUUUUGAGUUUAGUUUUCAUUAGGUUUUUAAAAUGUAACAUUUCUAUUCUUUGCUAAAUUAUUAACAUAGAACAUAAUUAAAUAAUUCAAGUCCUAAAAUCUUUUGGUGCUUCUAUUAUUUUCUUUGUUAUUGUUAGAGUUAAUAUAUCUUACUAAACUAUGGAACUUGUGCUAUAUAACAAUAAGAGUAUUUAUUAUCAUUAUUAUUAUUUUAGUUUAAAAGUAUUUUUAAAACUUUUGAAAAUAUUAAAAUACUUUCAAAAGUUUAACAUGUUAAUAGUCAAAUACAUUUGUGUGUUUAAUUAGUACUUAUUAGUUUAGUAUGUUUUAAGGGGGAAUUUGUUUUUUAAAAUUUUGUGUGAUAUUUUGAAAUUUUAUGUUUUAAUAACUUUAAAUUUUGGUCGAUCAGAAAAUUGAUGUAAAAUUUAGGUCAACGAAAAUACUUCAACUUUUUUAAGUUCAAGUAUUUACGAGACUUCUCAAUAAUUAAAGGGUACUUUUGAAACAAAAAAAUUUAAGGGAUAAUUUGUUUUACUCGCAUCCUCAAUUCUCAUGAAGUGGGCAUCUCGACUAUCAUAUUAUUUUGUUGAACUCAAAACCUUGUGGCUAAUAGGAUAAUGAGAUGUUAGUUGAGCUAAGUUUUUGUUGACUAAAAAAAUAUAUGAUCAAAACCAUCAUUUGUGUCCAAAUCUUUAAAAACUAGCCAAGAAUUCGUAGUAGUAUAAGAUGUCUCAACAUCUAGAGAUUAUUGGGCAUUCUAUAGGGUAUCUCAAGAGUUUUGGAUGGUAAGAUCUUUCUAAGUUUCUUAAGUUUUCAUUUACUAUUUUUGUAAUUUUUUUUCUUUCACAGACAUAUUGAUCUUUAUUUGUAGUAUAUAAUUAAAACAGAGAAAUUUAUAUGAGUAUAAGAAAAUAAAAACUAUUUACCUAAAAAAUAUGAAUACUUUGAGCUUGGAUUAAAUUAUAAUUUUGUUAUGGAACGUAAAUAGUUUGUCGAUUAUUUCAUUUUAAAAAAUUCUCCAUUAAAAUAAGAACUCAAUCCUAUAUAUCACUUUUUAUUAUAUCAUCACAUAUUUAAAUUUAAACAACAUAUAAAUUAAAAAUGAUAUAAAUGGUAAUAAUUUAGAAAAAAACAAAUAUGUUAUAAGCUCAAAUCAUAUAAAAUGAUUAAAUAGUGGUAAGGCGAUUAUUGAAACAUAAUAUAAAUUUACUUGUACCAAAGAUGAUGAUAAAAACAUUUUCCAAAUACCUACAAAAGUUUCCUAUUAAACAUACUAGAGUUACACGAACUUAACGAUUUCGUAUAUUUAUAAAUAAUUCGAGUAUCUAAGAUUUUGAUUAUCUUAUAUUUUCAAAAAAAAAAAAAAAACAAAUAAACACUUUCUAACAAUUUUCAUUAAAAAAUUUGAACCGUUGGGAUAUUUUUAAUAAGUUUUAAAAGUUGAGGUAAAAUUUAUAUUUGAAUCUCUAAUUUGUAAGAUUGUGUGUUUUGGAAUGGUGUAGCAAAGUUAUACCAAAAAUUUCGAAAAAACAAAUUUGAGAUACAGAGUUUAGGCCCAAACAUUUUUAUAAAAUGAAAAUUCGGAUGUGUUAAAUUGAGUACUUAUUCUCUUUCCCAUUUAUUUUCUCCGCCAUUUUUCUUUUUCCCCCAUAUUCCUCCUCUCCUCUUCCUGGACCGGCGAGAAGGGUAAAAUCCCCGCCGCAUUGGACCUCCAUCGCCGACGAUAGACUAUUUCGAAACCUCAGUCUGCCGAUUCCUGAGAUUUUCGAAUCUGGGCUGUAAGGGUCGGUUAUUGCUUGAUGAAUCUUUUUACUUCAUUGCCAAACUCUUCAUUUAUGCAUGGAGUCUUCACCCCCGUUCGAUGCCCCACGAUGAUUAGAAAUUCCACUGCCAUUAUCAAAUCAGGUCAGCUUCUCGUCGUCCUUGGGUUCAGGCUUAGACUUACAUUUUCAAUCACGCAUAGAUUUUUCACAUCACCUGCAUCUCUUCCUCAAAGCUUUUCUGUAGAACAUGAUAUACCCGCUCAACUCUUCUCCAUUCUCUCUCGCCCCAAUUGGCAGAAACAUCCUUCUCUCAAAAAUCUUAUCCCUUCUAUUGCUCCCUCCCAUAUUUCUGCUCUUUUCGCCCUCAAUCUCGAUCCACAAACUGCUCUUGCGUUUUUCAAUUGGAUCGGGCAGAAGCAUGGAUUCAAACACAAUGUUCAAUCCCAUGUUUCUAUGUUAAAUAUCCUUGUUCCAAAUGGGUACCUCCGCAUUGCUGAAAAUAUGCGAAUUUUAAUGAUUAAGUCUACGGAUUCAUCAGAGAAUGCGCUGUUCGUGUUGGAAAUGCUGCGGAGUAUGAACCGCCGGGUGGACGCUUUCAAAUUUAAGCUCACUCUUAGGUGCUAUAACAUGCUCUUGAUGUUGUUGUCUAGGUUUCUCAUGAUUGAUGAAAUGAAAAGUGUGUAUUUAGAGAUGUUGGAUGACAUGGUUACACCAAAUAUUUUUACACUCAACACAAUGGUCAAUGGAUAUUGUAAAUUGGGUAACGUAGUUGAAGCAGAGCUGUAUGUCAGUAAGAUAGUGCAAGCCGGUUUGAGUUUGGAUACAUUUACUUAUACUUCUUUGAUAUUAGGAUAUUGUAGGAAUAAGAAUGUAGACGCUGCAAAUGCCAUUUUUCUAUCAAUGCCAAAUAAAGGUUGCCUCAGAAACGAGGUUUCUUAUACCAAUCUGAUUCAUGGAUUUUGUGAAGCCAGGAGGGUUGAUGAAGCUCUUAAAUUGUUCUCACAAAUGCAUGAGGAUAAUUGUUGGCCUACUGUGCGUACCUACACAGUUAUCAUAUUUGCAUUGUGUCAGUUGGGCAGGAAAACAGAAGCACUUAAUAUGUUCAAGGAGAUGACUGAGAAGCAUUGUCAGCCAAAUGUACAUACCUAUACGGUUCUUAUUUGUAGUUUAUGCGAGGACAGCAAUUUUGAUGAUGCCAAGAAAAUUCUAAAUGGGAUGCUUGAGAAAGGAUUGAUUCCAAGUGUAGUCACGUACAAUGCCUUAAUUGAUGGUUAUUGCAAGAAAGGAUUGAGUGCGAGUGCCUUGGAAAUUUUGAGUCUCAUGGAAUCAAAUAAUUGUAGCCCAAAUGCUCGCACUUAUAACGAAUUGAUACUGGGGUUUUGCAGGGGAAAAAAUAUCCACAAGGCCAUGUCACUACUUCAUAAAAUGCUUGAGCGGAAGCUUCAACCAAAUGUUGUUACCUACAAUAUAUUGAUCCAUGGACAGUGUAAAGAGGGGGAUCUGGGCAGUGCUUAUAAGCUCCUUAGUUUGAUGAAUGAAAGUGGUUUGGUUCCUGAUGAGUGGACUUACAGCGUCUUCAUAGAUACACUCUGUAAAAGAGGGCUGGUUGAAGAAGCUCGUUCUCUCUUUGAGUCUCUUAAGGAGAAAGGCAUAAAGGCAAAUGAAGUAAUAUACAGUACUUUGAUUGAUGGCUAUUGCAAGGUUGGAAAAGUCAGUGAUGGUCGUUUCUUGCUUGAUAAAAUGCUUAGUGCUGGAUGUGUUCCAAAUUCAAUUACUUAUAAUUCCUUGAUUGAUGGAUAUUGCAAAGAGAAAAAUUUUAAAGAAGCUCGUUUACUUGUGGACAUAAUGAUAAAGAGGGACAUUGAGCCUGCUGCUGAUACUUACACCAUUCUUAUAGAUAAUUUAUUAAAAGAUGAUGAGUUUGACCAAGCCCAUGAUAUGUUUGAUCAAAUGCUUUCCACAGGUUCUCAUCCUGAUGUAUUUAUAUAUACUGCAUUUAUUCAUGCAUAUUGUAGCCAUGGUAGACUAAAAGACGCAGAGGUUUUAAUUUGUAAGAUGAAUGCAAAAGGAAUAAUGCCAGACACUAUGCUUUAUACAUUAUUCAUUGAUGCAUAUGGACGGUUUGGAUCAAUUGAUGGUGCUUUUGGCAUUCUGAAGCGUAUGCAUGAAGUUGGUUGUGAGCCGUCUUACUACACAUAUUCUUGUUUAAUUAAACAUCUCUCAAAUGCAAAGCCUAAAGAAGUAAGUAGCAGUUCAGAGUUGAGUGACUUGUCAUCAGGGGUUGCAUCAAAUGAUUUUUCCAACUGUUGGAGGAGAGUAGAUUAUGAAUUCACUUUGGAUUUAUUUGGCAAAAUGGCCGAGCAUGGGUGUGCUCCCAAUGCUAAUACUUAUGGCAAGUUUAUUACAGGUCUUUGCAAGGUUGGAUGCUUGGAAGUAGCUCACAGAUUGUUUGAUCAUAUGAAAGAAAAGGGACAAUCACCUAAUGAAGACAUUUAUAACUCUCUUCUCGGUUGUUCUUGUCAAUUGGGAUUGUACGGGGAAGCAAUUAGGUGGUUAGACAUAAUGAUAGAGAAUAGACAUUUACCACAUUUAGAUUCUUGCAAGCUGCUGCUUUGUGGUCUGUAUGAUGAAGGAAAUGAUGAGAAAGCAAAAAGAGUGUUUUGUAGUUUUCUUCAGUGUGAAUAUAAUUAUGAUGAAAUGGUUUGGAAAGUACUCAUCGAUGGCUUACUUAAGAAGGGCCUUUCUGAUAAAUGCUCUGAUCUAUUUGGCAUCAUGGAGACACAAGGUUGCCAAAUUCAUCCUAAGACAUACAGUAUGUUGAUUGAGGGAUUUGAUGGUAUUCAGGAAAUUGAUUAAUCAUUUAUAGUUUCAAGGACGACAACCCUAUUUUCUUUCAGUGGUGUAUACUGAUGAAUGCAAAAUCAUUACCCACUAGAUACUUUAUCACCUUUGCUACUAGCUCUCUAGUGAUUGAAGGUUGAUGUUGCUCAGGGAAGGGUACACAUUUGGAAUUUUUGAGUGGGUACCACACUAUAGGCAAUUGUGCUUGAACGAGUAGAACUUCAGUAAUAAUGGGAAGGCAAGCUCUUCUACUCUUUUCAUUUUGUAUAUUCUCUUAUACAUUUAAAAUUCAUAUGAUUGUUUUCUCUUCGAGCUUUCUUCUCUCAACAGCUAUCAGACAACUUUUAUUAAUUGGACAGCCCUUUUUAACUUUCGUGGUUUGUGGUGAUUCUUACCUUCCUUUUGUAUAUUUCAUCAAUAAAAUGUUUCGUUAGGGAAUUUAUGUAAUGGAGUUGUACUUCUCAUUUGUUUGUUGAUUUUGAGAUAGAGCUCAAGUGUCCUCUUUUCAUUAAACAGUUUCCUGUGAAGACAAGCAUUUCGACAAGAUAUGAUUUUUGGCAUAACAUUAAGAUAAUAACUCAUGUUCUUCUUUCUUGAUGUAAAUAUUAUUUUUGUUUAUGAAGUGGAUGAUGUAAAUUGGUUUCUGACUUCUUGUUUUCCUUCACGUAUGAACUACCUUGACAUUUUGACACUUGUCAAGAACUCUUAAACUAGAUUGUCAGUUUCACAUUCUCAUUGAUUAGAUUAAUCUCGAAUAUUUUAUUGUAGGUACAGGGACUUUUAAAGUUAAUAUAUUGAUGAAAGCUUAGACUUCAGUAGAAAACUAGACUUGAGUGUUCUCGUGAAAUAUCCUUCAAUUUCUUUGAUGUAAAGGUUGGUUGGGGUAGGACCUUUAGCUUUCUUUCACCUCGUUUCUUUGCUAUAAAGGUUGGUUUGACUCACAUACCCAUCCUGAACGUAAAUGAGAAACUGUAAAUCCCAGUAUUUUUUAGGAGUUCUUGUGCUUUUUCAAUAUGCUUUAGUUUGUUGGUUGGAUGCUGUAAUCGAGCAUAAGGUCAUUGAAGUUUAUUUUGUAAUUGGUUAUAUUUAAAUAAUAGGUAACAUCAGAGAAGUUACUUUUUUUAGUAUAGCUGAGAACUAUCACCACUAUUUUGACUAAGUUUAUUCUUUACUCUGUGCAGUUUUGAGCAAUUAUGCAUCAAUUACACAAAUGUAAGCUGCCAUAAACUUUCAACCAGGUAUUCCACGUUUCUUUCUCUAAUUCAAUGUCAACUAUGAAUGGCAUAGUGAUAUUUAGCACCUCUUCAGGACAGAGCAAGAAGAAAUUGAUUGAAGCUGGCAUACUCGUUGUGAGAGUCAAGCUCUCCUGUAGCUUGUUUAGAAGGUUCAAUUCUCAUCCUAGUAACUUUGAUCAUUGGGUUAUUAGCUCUUCUACUCAGUUGAUUUCUCUUCAUUUUAAAAGCUUACGGAACACUUGGUUUUCCACAUAAAUAUUCUACACAUAUAAGGUUCACAAUGAGGUUCAGACUUCAGCCUAACCUAUUUGUGUGGGAUUCAAUCAAUACUAACUUUAUGUUCUUUCUUAUCCUUCUUCAGAGAGUUGAAGUGAUAAUAUCAAAGUAAUUAGGUGGAAAAAAUUUAUCCGACAUUCUUUUUCUGAGAGAAUAAUAUAAUAUAUUGACAAGGCCAAGGGAAACAAUACCAGAAAAUAUGAUGAGAUCUCCUAUUGAAAGGAUAAUAAUGGUAGGUCCUUGACAUUUCUAUGGAUAUUGACAGAAAAUAGCUCAGAAUUAAUUUGUACUACAAUAUAAACAGUGAAAUUGCAUUUACAGGUUACAUGGAAAUUUACAGUACUAAACCCCAAGCAACUUGAGAGGCUCCCAAAAUUACUCUUCCAAAUUCUUCCCAUCCCUCUUCUCCAUAAUACUUUCUUACCUUUGUAUUUAUCUCUUUAUUUAUUAUUGAUUUUUGGAUGAAUUACCGAGCCAGAUUUGUUGCUGAACCGUGGCGACCCUAGGGCAAGUUCUUUCAAUCAAAUAAGACUUCCAUAUAUCGAUCUUAUCAAAAGAUUUGUUGCUGAACCCCACAGAAAAAUUUAAAUUUAAUAAGGGACCAAAUAUCACUUGCAGAACGCUCAAGCCUUUUAAAAAUAAAUAUAUUGUGCCUAAUAAUUACUGUAGUCCCACGAAACGUCCCCCUACAUUAUCUCACUGCUAAUAUCCUAAUAAUAAACCAAAGUUUUUCACACUAGUACAAAAGCCUUAAGGAGAUUUUACUGUCUAAAGUACAAAAGCCUGAAAAAUAGCCCUUAAACAUAAGUUUCUUGGUUGAAAGUUUAUUAUAUUUGAUAUGAGUGAUAAAAUAUAUGUCAAAGCUGUCAUUAGCAAUUUGCAAACUGAACACAACUCCCUUAAGGAGAUUUGCAUUAAAACAAUUGCCACCGAGGAAUUUGUUAACAUCAAGAAUGCGGUGAUGAACCUGUUUUAUUGACUAACAUUAGGAGUAAGUUGAACCUGUUCGAAUCCAAUAUACCCAACAGCUAUUAGCCCCUUUCAUUUUAUGGACGUAAGUAGCAGGGUAAGCUUCUUUGCUGAAGUAAAAGCUGGUGCACUCUUCGGCAAUAUUAUUUGAAUUGAAGGGUCACGGAAAAGAAUGCUGGAACCAUGGUGCACUCUUGGACAGUUUUGUUUGAAAUUGAAGGGUGACAGUGAAAAUCAUACUGGAACUUACAAAAGAUCUGUUUGUGGUGGGUGGACAAAAAUAAGUUGUAUGUCAGGUUGUGCUACGUGGAAAAUGUUCAAUAUAUAGGGAUUGGAAUGCGGGUGUUACAUUAGAUGUGCCGAGAAGACCCUUUCAAUGAUGGAUGGUUUGGAAACUUUCAUUCAAACCAAAAGUAAUUAUUGUGGGUUGGCUCCUCUUGGGUUGUUGGGUUUUCUCUCUUUCAGUUGUUCUCCAUGUGGACCAUUUUGUCUUAGUAUAGUUUUUUUUCCCUUUUAGAGACCAAUAGCAAUAUCCUGGUUUUGCUUGUGCAGAGCUUGAACUUCUGAGUUCUUUGAUCGGUUGACACAAAAAUUGUGGUAAAUUUAGUAAUUUUGUGAUCACCGAACUUCUUAUUGGACAGUUGGUUGGCUCUUCUUACCAAAUACAUUAUGUGUCAAUGUCCAAUUUGGUUAACACAUGGCCAUCAGAUAUAUGCUGUCUUCUGAUUUUUUAUAUUAGGCGAGUACUUAUACCUGCUGUCACAAUGAACGCCGAACAAGUAGUUGACUCAUCCUGGUUGCAGUGGUGUGGUACAGUCAAAGGUCUCACAUUGUUUCAGGAGCAAUGUAAGAGUAGCACUAGGCACAGCUGUGGUUGAAGGAGCGAGCAAAAUUGUUGCAGUAAACGAAGGCACUGAUGAAAAGAGAGAUUUGAACAUUCAAGCACUUGAUAUUAAAUGUGUAUGAGAUUCAUUGAACUACUGUAAACUAUAAAUUGAAAGUGUCCUGGGACUAAUUAAUUCUAUAAAUAUGGCAUCGGUCAUUUGUCAAUUCAAAUAUUUGACAUGUUUUUUUAAAAAAAUGUUUAUUGUCAUUUUAAGUGAGACUGGAAUAUAAUCUUCUAUUUUGAUUGCAAGUUCCCUCCCCUGUAAAAUAAUAAUGCAACUUAAAACUAUUUAGAAGCUGGCGUAAUAUUAUUUAUGUGGACAGAAUUGUUUCAUGGUGACAGGCAAAGAGUUAACAAAGGAGAAAGGGCAUGCUGAAAUGGGGAAAUUAAGAAGGAUCUGAUAAAUGCGACUUCAGGUCUCCGUACAGGUAGUUACUACUACUACUGACAUGGUAUCCUUUCGAAACAUGUGAUUAGUCACCACUUCAUAGUUGAACAUUUCAAUGUUUUAUUUUGUUUUCAAUUUGACAGAUGGGGUUGUUUCUUUGCCCCAUACAUGGAUAGAUAUAUUGCAACAUACAAACACCAUUACAAGGAUUAGGAAACAUAUUUUAGUUUCAUAGUUCUACCAAUGGUCUUAAUAUGAUAUGCUUGUGUGGAGCCUGUUGGAAAUUUAGAAUUAUAUGCAAUUCCAUUCUACUGGGAUGAAAUUGUUCAAAGUUUGAUAUCCAUUAGGCCGAAGCAACGAGUGCAACAUAGCUUUUUGAUAGCCAAAAAAGUAGAACGUUACUGCUCAUGAUAAUCAUUUAUGUGGAUGUAAUGCUUCGAACAUAUUUGACACUCGAUCAUGAUGGUGAUACAUUUUGUAGGAGUUAUAUUCAUUCCAUGAACUAAGUCACACCUGAAUUGUUUCCAGGACGAGGGUUCAGGAAGCUUUCAAGACCGAGAGAAUUCUUUUAUCGCAAGGAAAAUUUUCUUCUAAGAGAUUUAAGUGAAGUUCAAAAAGAAAAAUCUCGUCUCCAAAAGUACUUUGCAAAGGAAAUGUUAUAGGAGAUGGAUACCUUCUCAUCCACUGCACUUAUAAACUAAAGACCCCAAUGUGAGCUUCUGUACUCUAGAGUUGUAUGUUCUUAGGAGUUCUAGGAGCAACCUUCACCAACUGUGUUGUGGUGUACCACCCCCUUUGAGAAGGAAGCUUCGAUUCUCUUGUUUAGUGCUCUUAAAAAUUUGGUUGCAAGUUUAAAUCUUAUCAUUUAAGAUGAAGAGUAUCACUUUUGGAGCACGAACUCUUGGCUUCUAGUUAAAAGAUGUAUGAAUAUCUUAACCGUUGAGUUGUUGAGUUAUACAAAUGUUUGAGGAUUAAAAUUAGUUCUCAAUAAUACUUAAUGUGUGCCUUUCUAGUCAACCUAACUGGAAUAGUGCUCCCAGUAGAUUCAGCAAUGAUGUUACUUAUGCUGGAGUUUAUUAUGGAUUUGCCUGUUUGUUUAUCCAAUAACUCAAAUAUGUGUGGAAAAAAGCCUUUUUGUCACACUAAAUUUAGUUGGUCUUAAUCUUUAACAUGCCUAUUUAGUUUAUACAUUUAAGUUUCAAUUACGUAUGUAGACUUUAAAUUGUGAUUCUAUGUGGUCUCCAGUGAGAUUUUGAACUCUACUUGUAUUUUUUUUAAAUAAUAAAGUAGGUUGUUUUCAACCUUUUUAUGUUUUUGGAGAAGUAAAUAUUUACAAUUUAGGGAUAAUAAUUAUGUGUUCAGCAAAUUUUCUAAGAAAUCGUAAAUAUAUCAAAAUUUAUUAGUGAAAGAUUUAUAUUGUUGUCAAACUCUUAUGUGAUAGAUCAAUAUUUACAAUAUGGUUUAUUAGUGAUGAGUUUCUAUGAUCGAUAAAUUUAGACAUAUUUUACUAUAUUUGUAAUUACGUUGAAAUAUAUAUUAAUUAUUUUAAAUAUAAUUGUAUACCUUUAUAUAUCAGGAUAUAACGUGUAUUAAAAUUGAAAAUUUAAUUCCAAUGACAUUUAUUUGAUAACAAUUAUUAUCAAACAGAAUAGAAUAAUACAAAAAAUGUAAUAGGUUACACUUGGUUGAUGAAUUCAAGUAUAUUUUUGUUUUUGGUGUCUUCAUAAUCAAUCUCAUCCACAUUUUCAGUCUCUUCUAUCUUAUUCUAUCUCUAUUUUUGGGAUCAAUAUAAUUAACUUGUCUUCCACGACGGUUGUUUAAUUACUUGAAAAAAAAGAAAAGAAAAUGUAAUGGGUGUAAUAUCAUAAUUUCUUCAAUUACACACUUGUACUUGUACUAGGGUUUUUCAUCAUUCAUGUUCGAUAGAAAUUGAUAGUCAAUGUUAUCGAUACUAUUCUAACAACGUUUCUAUUGACAUUUUAAUACAUUUGAUAUCCCACUUUUAACGUCGGCAACUAUAUUUAAAACGUUAUGAUUAGAUUUUAUAUUUGGACAAGAUCUAUAAAGUCAUCAUUCCCCAUAAUGUUUUAAUGAAAAAUAAGUAGGGGCCUUAGGUCAAUGUGAAAUGCAAACCCAAAAUGUGAAAUCAUUCAAAUUUCUUCCACUAUCAUUCAAAACACAUCUUUUCCAUAAAAAUAAAAUAGAAAGCUAAAUUUACUGCUUUUUUUCUUUUUCUUCACUCAAUUGCUUGGUUUGGGGAAUCUAACCAUAGAUUACCUUUUGUCUAACCUUUACUUUACUUUAACUAUUUGUUAAUUAAAUACUCAAUCUCUAGAACAACAACAAUCUUUUUUUCUUUUUCUUUUUUAAAUUAAGCUUAUAAAUUUAUUUGUUAUGGUCUCGUUUUAAAAAAUCAACUUUGGUUUUUGAAAUUUGACUAACAACUCACAUAUUUGUUUAGAAAGGAUAAAAAAAAAAAAUCAUCCUUAAAAUUUAGUAGAAAAACAAGAAUAAAAUUGAAAAAUAAAAAAUAAAAGACUAAAUAGUGUUAUUAGAGAAGGUUUUAGUUAGAUGAGUAUGAUAACUAUAACACUUUUGUUUGCUAUAAAUUACAUGAAUUUGAUAAUUUGAUCAAGAAGUUUGUUUUCAAACCACAUAGGUUCUUUGUUGAAUAUAAGUUUAGAUUUAUAAAAACUGACUUUUAUUCAAUUGCUUAAUUACUAAUUUCUACUGCUUUAACAAAAAGAACAAAAAAUUUACGAAAUCAAACAAUAAAUAGAAAGUCAAAAUUUGAGUAGGAAGAACGGUUCUUCAAAUAUCUCUAUAAUGAUAUGAUAUUAUUCAUUUUGAACGUUAUUAACUCUCAUGUCUUUACUUUUGGGAUAUGUUGUAUAUACUAAUAGAGAUAGUUGUCAUUCAUUUAUCUAACAAAUGUGGAGCUUUUGAUCUCAUCUCCAACACGGAGCAACCAGUGUAGAUUUUAUAGACUAAAAAAUUUACCAAAAUACCAAUCGACAUGCCUACUAGAAGUUUGAAGAAUGAUUAUGAAAUGGGCAAUAAAGUCAAUUCCAACAUUAAUGAUUUGAAGGAGAUACAUGAUAUGAUAACUUAUAGAAAUAAUGUGUCCCUCAAUUCUUUUUCAAUAGCUACAUAAUCAUCAAGUAUCUAAAUGUUAGCAUAUAAAAUAAUAAGCACUAGCUAAUAAAAGUUAAAUAUAUAUAUAUAUAUAUAUAUAUGAUCACAUUUACUUGAUGGUUUAGAAACAAAACAUACCCCUUCUCAAGGUUAGAGAGUCAAUGUAUAUCUGAUUCUCAAAAUAAAGGAAAAAAAUGAUACUUUAAAUUAUCUAUAUUUAAUUGAUUGGUAUGAAAAAACUAACGGGACGUUGUUUUUAUCUUUUACUUGUAUUUUGAUUCUCGUUUGAGUGAAGUUUGGGUAAUUUUGGUGGCUUUCACUCUUCCCUCUGUUUUUUCUUAACUUCUAUAGUGUGUCUUUUCUUCUCUCCUUUUAAUAAUCUUGCUACCAUUGUUUGGUUCUUUCCUACGUUAUCAUCGUCGUCUCACCUCCUUCAACAUGUAGAACAAUUGACGUUGUCGUGAGCUGUCUAGACUAGCUUACUUAAAAAUUAUGUCAUCUUCUUUCACCCAAAAUCAUCUCAAUUUUUUUUGGUUUCAUUGGCCUCAAAUGUAUUACACACAUGUUUGGUCUAAAUAGUUCAUGACCUGAUGACUAAUUUUUUAAAAAAGUAAAACAUAUUUGAAACUUAUUACCUUUUGUGUUCCUUAAAUAAUAUUGGAAGGUUGAAAAAGAGGAACAUUCAACGCUAAAAUUGCUAUUUUGAUAAUAAAGGUAAAUAGGCAUGAAUAAGACGAAUUGAUCAUUGAAAGAAACCGUUAAAGUACAACAUGAUUGACAAACAAAAAAUGAUCAAUUGUAAAUUUGUAUUUGGAAACAAACAACUGUAAGUGGCUACAAAUAGUAUUUUGAAUUGAUGAUAUUUUGUUACAGAAAAGAAAGAGUAAGAAAGUGAGGGUGGAGGGAGUGAGGGAGUGAGGGAGUGAGGGAGUGGUGAAAGAAAGAGUGAGGGUGACUUUGAUAGAAACACUUUCCUUUGGCCUCCCCAAAUGGAAACUCUCCAAUGGCAUUUCUCGUAGAUAACAUCAUUUUACAACGCCAAUUCCGUAAAAUGAACUUAACCGCCGGUCAGAAGUUUGGGAAAUGAGAAGGGUGCAGCGUGGGAGAACAGGCCCACCGCCACCGAACGCAAUCCAUAUCCAUUUUCUUCCUUUCUUUAUUUCUCCCCAAAUAAAGAAUUAAAAAGAGAGAGAAGUAAAAAGAUGGGUAUGAUUCAGGAGCCACUCUCCGCUAACUGUGGCGCUAAAUUGCUUCUCCCUCUUUCUAUUUUUGGGUUUGUUGUUUUUUCCCCAUUGCAAUUCAUUCCUCUGUUCCCUUCUCUAUUUCUAAACCCCCUCUCCCCUUUCUCAAUAUUUCUCAUUCUUUCUCAUUGCAGAUUCUUGACGCUGUCUUCUUUGCUGCACUAAUCUCCACCACCCCUUUUCUUCUUUUUCUCUUUUUCUUUUUCGGGGUGGGGAGUUUUUGUUUCAGGGUUUUCUUCUCUUAAUCUCUCCGUUUCGGAGGGGGAAGGAGGAGGAGGAGGGAAUGAUUCUCUGCAGCGAAUGAUUUGGGUUCUUCUGUUCUGUUAACAAAUUCCCGAUUUCGGUUGCGGUUUUCUUUUUAUUUUGGGUUCGCCCAAUAUGCCUUGCUUUUCUUCUUGUAUUUCUCGUACUCAAGAUGGGAGCCGGGUCGAAACUGAUAGUCGUAUUCGAUUUGAAUCCCGCCAUUCUGCUAAUUCCUCAGGUUUGUUCUAUUUUCCCCCGCUUUUGCUUUUUAUAUAUCAGAUUUAUGAAAUGUUGUAAUGACUUAAAGGCAUGUUGGUGUUGAUAAUCUUGCUCUUAUUUGUGCUUCUUCAGUGUGCAUUUGGGUAAUACUCUUAUAAUCAGGCUAUGAACCAUUGAAAUUCAGGUACAUGGAGGGGAAAAGAAGGUGAGAGCAAGCAUGAAAGCUGUCCGAAGAGGAGCGCAGCUGCUCGUAGUUUUACGUUCCGUGAACUCGCCAUGGCUACAAGAGGUUUCAAGGAAGUAAAUUUGCUUGGAGAGGGUGGUUUUGGACGUGUAUACAAAGGACGUUUGGAAUCAGGACAGGUAAUUUAAGUUUCAAUGUUUCAUUGCAUUUUGUCAGCUUUGUUAUGGCUAGAAACUAUUAGUUUCUUUUACAGUUUUUACUAUUUGUUGUUGUGGGCAGAUUGUCGCAGUUAAACAGCUUAAUCGUGAUGGGCUUCAAGGCUUUCAGGAAUUUAUUGUGGAGGUUCUCAUGUUGAGUCUGUUGCACCAUCCUAAUCUCGUCACCUUGAUUGGUUACUGUACUGAUGGGGAUCAAAGGCUUUUGGUUUAUGAGUUCAUGCCUAUGGGAAGCCUGGAAGACCAUCUUUUUGGUAAAUGCUGUUCUUUUUGCACUUGAAAAAUUCUUAGGUGCAUCCCACCGAAUUGUCCGAUCAUCAUUUAUCUGCGUAGCAAAUUCACUUCUUUUUUUUUUUUUUUUUUUUUUUUUUGUAAAAUUUGUCUGUGAUGAGGGUGGGAUGCAUAAAGAUGGGUAGGUCGGGAUGUACCCAUAUUGUUGCUUUUUUAACUCUGUUCUAUUCGUUUUCAAUUUGUUAAAUUAUAUGAACUUUUUCUUAGCAAUUAAGAACUAUUUUGUUUCUUAUAAAUAUAAUAAAUUUAUGCUAUCAGUUUCUGACACGAGUUACGUCUUCUUUUCUGCAAGUCCUAUAUUCUGUUUUUCCGAAGGUAUAGUUGUAUGAUCAUGUGAAUAUCCAUAUUAUAUCACAUAUAGGAAGAUUUCUAGUACUACAACAGUACAUACUUUUUUCAUAAAAAUUCGUCCUUUUAUGCUGUAUUAUUUUAUUUUAGGGGUCUGACACAAUUAUUAAAUGCUUCUUUUAUGGCAAACAAUGAAUGGCAGAUACUACUGCAGCACUAGAAUUCUGUAUGGAUCGUGAGAGGGACUGGUUAGACUUGAUCCUACUUGACCAAUUUGGCCAUUGACUUGGGUGAAUCAACCAAGCCAAUGAUAAGUUAAUUGAUAUACUAGAGUCAGAAAAACGUAUUUAUAAUCUUUUUUAUGUUAAUUUAUCAUUUUAUCUAACAUAAUUGACUUAUUAAUUACAUUUUGUUAGAGUUUUUCAAUUCUCAUUCAAAUACGUAAAUGCAAUGAAGCUAUGGUAUUAUAUCCUCCUUAGAAAGAUAGCUGAAUCUCUUUGGAAUAAAUUGUGAUGUAAUGUUAUCCUAUAUAAUGUAAAAGAUUUUUCAACUUUCUAACCUUUAGUUUUUGUUAUCAUGAAAAUUUCAAGUUUUCUCUCUGUCUUUUUGGGUUACUAGUCACUAAUGAAAGUCGCUAUAAUAUCCAUCUUUAGACCUCCAAGUCAAUGACUGUUCUCAUAGCUUUGACCUAUAGCUUUUUUUUCUCAUCUCUUUUGAAUGAUAAUUGAGAAUAGGUCUUAUGCUAGCAACUAAGAUAUUAUCUUACAACUCGAAAAUUUUAUGUUUAAUAAGAAGUUGAACUGAAGAACAGUUGUAAAUAGAAAGUCAGAUUAUGGAUGCGCAAAUCAUAGUAAAACCAUUAUGGUUUGUAUUGGUGAUAUAUAAUUAAAUUUUCCUUCAACCACUAGCUUAAGCUUUUGGAUGUAUUGGUGGUUUAAUAGUUUGAUAUUUGAUAGUUUCACUGAAGGUUUCUGGGUUGAUAUAGAUCUAUUAAAAGAAGCAAAUAACAUGGUAUCUUUAUGGUGAAUUUUUUUUUAUUUCAGAUAUAGGUACUGACAAAAAGCCUUUGAGUUGGAAUACAAGGAUGAAGAUUGCAGUUGCCGCUGCCCGAGGCAUUGAGUAUCUCCACUGCAAAGCAAAUCCACCAGUCAUAUACCGUGACUUGAAAUCAGCUAAUAUCUUAUUGGACAAUGACUUUAAUCCUAAGCUUUCAGAUUUCGGCCUGGCUAAACUGGGACCUGUUGGUGACAAUACUCAUGUUUCAACUAGAAUAAUGGGAACGUAUGGAUAUUGUGCUCCAGAGUACGCCAUGAGUGGAAAAUUAACCGUUAAAUCUGAUAUUUACAGCUUUGGUGUUGUUCUACUUGAGCUUAUUACAGGGCGCAAGGUAAUUGAUACAAAAAGGAGACCAGGAGAGCAGAACCUAGUUGUUUGGGUCAGUACUUCAAUAAUCAUUUUUUGUUCAAAGAUUCUACACCCGUUUAUACUUUGUAGUCCCACUUUUUUUAUUAGUACAAUAGGGUGGGGGCUUUGAAUUACUGAUUUUUUGGUCGUUAGCACAUACUUCAUGCCAGUUAAGCUUAGUCUCACUUACUUUUGUUUAAUGUGCAUGUUCUCAUCUGUCCUUCUUGCACGAUCCAUUUGACUUGCUGAUUUGAAGUAUUUGAGUUUUUUGCUUAGUUUUGUGGAUUCUAGUUUUGUGUCAUUCUCCAUACAAUGUAUAUUUUGAGAGUUAAGAAUAUAACUGCAGUUAUUUUCCUGGGCUAAUUUGUUUCAUCACUUUCCAUUAAUUUUGCAGUCCCGUCCUAUACUUGGCGACCGAAGAAGGGUUUUGGAACUAGUUGAUCCCCUGUUGGAAGGACAGUUCCCUCUUCGUUGUUUGCAACACGCAGUUGCAAUUACUGCAAUGUGUCUUCAGGAACAACCAUUGUUUCGCCCUCUUAUUACUGAUAUUGUUGUAGCACUCGAGUAUUUGGCCUCUCAAAGUUAUUUACGAGAAGUACGCUGUCGUAGGUUUAACAAUUCAUCACAAAUAUCGCCCCCACAACAGAAUAAAGACACCCAUGCCCAGGAAUCAGAUCCUUAAGAUUGCUAAACUUCUUCAAAGUUGCUGUAUAGAAGUUGCUGAAAAAGCUAUGUAAGUCUGACAUUUCGAGUUUUUUUUUAUAAAGCAUUUUAUCCUGCUUUUAUUUGCAUGAGUUUCCUACUUUUUUUUCAGUUAAUACUUAGAGGGAAAAUUUUUAGACGAAGGGUUAUCAAACGAAAGCUUGAUUUUAAACUUCAAGAUUUGAAACUGCUUUUCGAAAUGUUAGUACACUUUUAUAAUCAACUGCUGGAUGUUUGGGCCCAAGGAGUUAAAAGGCAAAAAAUUGCUUGUUAACUUCUUACACUAUGAGCCCAGGAGUUCACAGCUUCACUUUUUACCCCCAAUGCUCCCUAGCAGUUAGUACAAAGUCAACUAUUAUUGGUACUGUUAUCCGACUGUUUUAUGAACUGAUGUGAGUUUUCUUUUCAUAUAUAUGCUUUCUUUCAGGUGCAUAGACAUUUGUGAAGCGUGUAAGAUAAAAGCAGAGUGAAGCAUGUUUUGUAAUGUAAUAAAUGACGUUCAAAACGAAUAGUUAUAUCACCUGUACAGAACUACGCACUUGACUCAACAGAAUAGGAAUGUUUUGAAGAAACACGUGUUACACCCGACUUCAUCCAAAAGCAGCUUGGUUAAAAGGUACGCAUCGACUAUUUGCUGUAUUAUUUGAGUUAAGUUUUCAACGCCUCGGGUUCAGGUCAGAUGAUCGCGAGAGCUACUUGGGAUUGUUCCAAGGUACAUAUCAGUGUCUUUGCUCUGAUAUAUCUUUGUACAUGAAUAAUACUCCUAAAUGAAAACUGUGUAUGUAGUCUGUAAGAUGGUCCCUGAUUUUUUCCCCACCUUAUCAUCUAUACUAUUUGUUCUUCUUUUUUCUUUUUCUUUUUUUUCUUUUAUUUAUGUUUUAGAGAGGUGAAGAAAGUUCUCUUUUUUUCUUCUUCUGUGCAAUACAUUACACUUCUACACACACAUAUAUAUGUAUAAAUGAAAAAAAAAAAAAAAAAGAGUUAUGUUAUGAAUAAAACAAACAUUUCUCUCCUUUUGCAACAUUAUUAUUAUAUGGAAGAAUUUGUGUAUGAAUUAGGAAAGCUCCUAAAAGUUUCGUCACCAAGACUUUCCUUUAGGAUAGUUAGCUGGAUUGAUGUAAGUGCUUUGAAUAAUCUAAGUUUCUUCCUUUGUCACCUCAAAAUAGUCAAUCUCCUGACCUAAUAGAUCUAUGAAAUUUUAGCCAAUAUAGCAACCCCAAAGUCAAACCCACUUUACUGAUUUUUUUUCUUUUCUUUUUUUUUUUUGCUUGUUUAGUUCCCAUAUUUUAAUAUUUGAAUAAUUUCAUUUUUGGUUUUUGGUUGUUGAGAAUGAGGCUUAUUUCCUUUCCAUUUCUUAUCAUGCAUCUUAAUUUUCAAAUUCCAAAACAAAAACAAGUUUUCAAAAAAAAAAAAUUUAGUUUUUAAAUUUUGGCUUGGUUUAAAACCAACGGUAAAAAGUAAAUAGAAAAGGAGGAAAUUUGAAGGUGAAAGUAGUGUUUAUAGGUUUAAAACAUGGCUUGAUGGGUGUUUUCAUUUUCUUAACUAACAAACCCGUCUGAAUAGCAAGUUUUUUUGUUUUCUUAUUUGAUGGGUGAAUUUCUUGGUUAGAUUUGUAAACAUUAUACACACAACUUAGUUGAGUGCAUUUUGAAAAACAUUUUGAUGCAUUUUGUGUUGUCUUUGGGUAGUCCAUUCAAUUACAAGUUUACAAGCUGUUACGUGACUGUGAAAAACAUGUUUUCUUAUAGGUUUCUAUAUGUUUUUGGUAAUGGAAAUGUGGAAGACGGGUGUAAUUGAGUAUUAGUCUUAUGAAUAAUGUUAGGGAUGGAAGGGGUUGACAGUUGACUGGGCUAACCCCAUCUAAGGGGUCAUUGGGUUUAAUUAAUUUGUGGAAAAUUUCUGAGUAUUUAUAUAAGAAAAUGACAUCUUCGCUACACAUUUUCUAUACCAAAAAAAUUGUAAGAAAAAGAAAGUCACUACUCUCUUUUUCUUUUUUGGUUUUCCCCUAUUCUUUCUUCUGUGUGUAUUUAAUUUUGGAUGAGUUUGCCAAAAAAGUCUUGGAAUUCAUUGUCUUUUGUCACUUUCUCUUUGCCUUUUGUUUUUGUUCUUCUUGCACAUUUGAUGUCAAACGACAAACAUUACAUAAAGUACAGUACACGAUACAAUACAUUACUAAAAUACUAAAAUACACUUGUUGAUGACAGUUACUUUGACAUUUAUUAGAUAUACUUUGGCCUUUUUUGCUUCUUCUUCUUCUUUUUAAUUCAAAAGUUUCUCUCCUAAAGGAUGUUUCAAGUGGUCAUCUCUUUUCUUUCUUUCUUUCUUUUCUCCUUUUUCUCUUGCUUUAAUGUGCAAUCAAAUGGACUAUAUACCCUAAUUAUUCAUUCCUCUUUCAAUACAAUAAAAGAAUAAAAAAGAAAGAAAGAAACUUGUCUUUUUCUCUUUUUGCCUAAUCAUCCAAUAUUUUAUUAACAAUAUCUAACUUUUGACAAUAUGUGGAUUAAGGUGUUAACAUUAACUGUAAUUGGGUAUUAACGAUCCAAUUACUAUUUUGUAAAACUUGAAAGACUAAAUCUGAUCAUUUUCAUUAUUUAAAUUUGGUCCUAUUUAAUUAAUUGGUUUUAGAUCGUUAUUAGAUAUUGAAGUUUAAGGAAUUAUUAGUUUUAGAUAUUGAAGUUUAUUAAUAUUUUUUUAUAAAUUAAAUACUCACCUUGAAGGAUGGGUCAUGGGUGUUCAUGAUUAUCAAUCCAUUGAAUAUAUAAUUAUAAAUUAAAUUUGUUUUCAGUAAAUUUUUUGUCGUUAUUAAAAUCAAUUAAACAGUUUUACGUGACGUAAAAAAAUAUUGAAGUAAAAGUUAAUACCAAAGAGCAAAGUGAGCAUAAACUAAGGAUAAAAGUGGGAUUUUGCAUAUUUUGGGUAAUGAGAAAUAAUGGUUAAAACUUAGGAUAAAAAUACAACAGUUUAAUGUUUAAAUUAAUUAAAGAUUGGACUAAGAAUGUCGAAUUUGGAUAUUCAAACCUUUCCUGAAAUGGACUGUUUUUAUUGUUUUCAUAGCCACGUCUGACCCAAAAUAUUGUAUAUAAUAAAAUAAAAUAUAACAAAUUCAAAUUUAAACGAGUGAUUACUAUUAUUUUAGGAAUUUUUCUAUUUUUAGACAAAAUAUUUAUUAAAUAUAACUUUUAUUAAUUAAAUAAAUAAAUGUUAACUAAUUUGAUUUAAAUAUUAAAAAUUCGAAAAUUGAUUAUGAAUUAUAAGUUUAUAUUUAGGAGAUAUUGAGAAAAUCUUGUUAAUCUCGAAAAUAUCAUAAAUAAGGUAUAGACACAUAUUAUACUUCUUUGAUUCACAUAUGCAUAACAAGAAUGAUUAAAAAUAAAACGUCACAAAUAAAAUAAAAUGUCUAAUUAAAAUAAAUAUAAAUAUUAACGUAAUUAAAAAAAUACAAGGUAAAAAAAUAAUUAUUCGAUACAAGAGACACAAUAAAUUAAUUUUUUUAAUAAAAAUCAAUAAAAUAAGUGUAUAAUCAUAAUUAGCACGAUAGUAGGAAUGCAAUAUAAUGACUCAAAAAUGGUUGAAAUUCUUAUAACCAUUUUUUAUAUUAACCAUACGUACUGUUUAUUAUCUAAUAAUUUUUUAAAAUAAUUUGAAAUAUAAAUCAUACGAAAAAUAUUGAAUUAAUACGUACUAUUUAUUAUCUAAUAAUUUUUUUAAAAUAAUUUAAAAUAUAAAUUAUACCAAAAAUAUUGAAUUAAUGAUUAUCAUGGAUUAGAUUAACCAUACAUACUAUUUAUGAUCAUUAUUCGACCUUUAAUUUAUAUACAACUCAUUCAUUACUCUCUUCAAUUUAAUAUUAUAUCAAUCUAAGUGUAAAUUAGUGUAUAAUGCAUUAAUAAAACGUUGGUUUGACUUGUUAUUAAGCUGAUUUUAAAACUAGAAUAUAUUGAAUACUAUAUCAAUGAAUGAUAAUAAUAUUCAAUAAAAUAUAUGAUUCUUACACUAUAGUUAUAGAAUAAUUAGUUUUACCUUAAAAUUUUAAUUAUUAAUUAACGUUUUAUUUUUAAGUCUGUUUCAUUAAUAAUCAUAAAAUUAAUAUAGAAAGCCAGAACAUACAUAUAUAUACAUACGUAUGUAUGUAUAAAGCUGGUUGGGAGGAAUGGGUCUCCUUAGCUUAUGGUUAUUGGGAUCUCCAAAAGUGUGGCAAUGGAGGUUCAAUUGCAGAGAACGAGGGCAGAGGAGGUCGGGCUAGCGGUGGGGUUGGGAACGAAGCUUUGAUGAUUUAGAGAAACCCCAAACUUAGAGUUGAUUCUAAAGGUACUUCCGAGGCUAUGGAAAUCCUUGAAAAUGUAUGUAAAAAGUGUAUAUCUUUAUGAAUAAUGGAAAUGCAAAACACUCUUCUUCAACCCGCCAUUGUAAAAUGUUUUACGGUGAAUCUGGAUGUGUUUCAAAAGCAAAAAUGAAGCAAUGGGCAAUAAGGAUGAAGACGAAGAUGCUAAGAUGGAGAUGGGAGGAGAAGAAGAGCAUGGGGUAACUUUUUUUCCUUCUAAAAUUACCUCAUCAUAAAUAUCACUUUCAAAAGCAAAUGGCAAGACUUAAGAAACUAAGUAUUACAUAUUCUAAAAUUUUUGUUAUAUAUUUGUAAAUAUUUUGGACUAAAAUAAUUUUUCAUUGCACUUAGAGUUUUUGGUUCUGUUUUUCUUUUAAUAAAACCAUCUAUUUUUUGUUACAUUUUGAAAAUCCAAUAUUUUAAACUAUACCUAAAUAUCAAUAUACAAUUAUUGAUAAUAUAAAGGUAGAAAAUUCAAACCCUAGGUCAAUGAAACAGUACGUCAAUGAACCAAUCUAAAUAAAGUUGCUGUCUUUUUCAUUAAUUAACAAGGCAUAUAUACUAUUACGUAACUUAAUUUAAUGGGUUCAUCUCACCAAAUUAAGAUGUAAAAUUCGAAUAAUUUGACUUUUUAAUUCUCAUGUUAAGCUAAUAUAGAUCAUUAAAUGGAAAGAGAGUUUUUAGUGAAUUUAUUGUAGAAAUGAAAACAUUAUAUGAAAAAGGAAAAUUGAAAAGAAGAGUUUGAAUAAAAAGUUGUAUUUCAUCUUCUAAAAUUGGAAUAUCAAUAAAGUCUGGUUGUAUAUUGGUGAAUUAAAUAUGUGAGUUUAUAAGAAGGGUACUCCAAAGUUGAGACUAUAUGUAUCCUCCUCAUUCCUGACCAAAUUUUAUUAAAAUUGAAUUUGAUGACUUUUCAUAAUAUGUUACAUAUAUAAAUAAAGUUUUCCAAAAGAAUUUUAUAAUAAAAGUAUAGUCAACAUGACCAUCUUAUAAUUAAUAAUGUUCAAACUUAUAGGAUAUGUAUUACAUUUCCAUCACUUAGUUAAUUAAAAUCUAAUCUAACUAAUUUCCCUUUUUCCUUUUUUAAAUUACAAUUAUAAUAGUAUAAGCUUAUACUUUUAUUUUCUUUCUUCAACUUUUUUAACACCUCCCUUAGAUUUUAAACAUUGAUAUCAUAAACGUUAGAUAAUGAAAAUUUGAUUACACACUCAAAAUUAAAUUUUGAAAAAAUUACCUUUUGUAUUUAAAUUUUGAUAAAUUUGUGUGUUCGGUUCUUUAGUUUUAAAAGUAUACUUUUGUUUAUGAGUUUUGAAACGGCUAUUAUAGUCUUUUUUAACAAACUCUCUAACCUUGUUUACGUUAUUUUCCUCAUAUAGAAUUCACUGGAUUUUGAUCCUAACAUUGUUUUGCAAGUUAGUUUCGUUGGUGGAAUUGUUGUAUGGCGUUUAUAUUGCUCUACCACAAUUUCGUUUUCACGGUGUAGGCUAUCAACAUAUGGGAAACCUAGUUUCCUUCCCUUUUUUUUUAAGUGUAUUUACCAUAUCAACUUUAUAAUCCACUAGAAAGAGGGUGAAAAACUCUACGUUUUUAGUCUUUUAAGUUUCUAAAAAUAACUCUAAAAAGUCUUCAAGUAUUUUCUUUUUUUAAAAUUUUUUAAAAAUAAUUAUAUGAUAUUUAAAAUAAAAGUAAAAAAAAUUAUAAACUCAAGAACUAAAAAGAUACAUUUCGAAAACACAAAAAUCAACCGAGUUUAUUCUUAUAAACCUGGAGAUCACUAAAAAAAAAUUGCAUACACUUAAAAACUUAGGUACAAAACACAUAUAUUUUUUAAAACUUGGGACUCAAAAUGUCAAAUUUGGUGACACUAAAAACAUCUAUCUUUUCUAAAAAUUUUAAUUAGACAAAUAGGUCUAAACAUCAAACUUUAAUUACAUACAACAAAGUUGAAACCAAACUUUCGUUGAAAAAUAACCUUCAAAAUCGUAACAACAUGCGAGUUCAUCAUAACUUUGUUCUUUCGUUUAUAUUGAUAUUUGCAACUUAGGACCAUAAACAAUAUACAAAUUAUUAAAUUAAACCUCAUUGAUCAUAUUAUAAUUAAAAUUAUUUGAAGAAAAUAAACAUGAAAUCAUCUUCUACAAAUCAUCAAGAGCAUCAAACAUAGAGACAAAUAUUUUAAUCUCACAACUAAUUUAAAAAGAAAUUAAAAUCAUAUAACAAAGGGAAUAGAAAAUCAAUUCAUUCAGUUUCAAUACAACAAAAGGGAUGAAAAUGUCAACUGCACAAUCAUACCGUCUAAUACAAAACAUGAAACUUUAUUCAAAAUCUAAGACUGAAAUCAACACUAAUUUUAUUUUAAUUGAAUGGAAAUGUAAUUCAUUAAACAAUAUAUUAUUAAUAUUUCAAUUUGAUAAUAUAAUUAUUUAUUUAUUUAAAAAAUAUUAAUAGAUAUUUAAACUAAUUAAUAGAUAGAAAUCUAACCUAUGUAGCUGUCGUUUUAUUAGAACUUUUCUUAAUAUCUUUGUUCAAAAAAUCUCAAGUAAUAAUAUUAACUAUAUGAAAUCCUUAGGGAUCAUCUUGAUUGCUCGAAAUUAAAGAUGUAUGUAUUUGGUUACGCAUGAAAAUGCUAUUAAAAAGGUAGGGAAAUAAAUUAUUUUUUAUUACAUUUGUAAAAUUAUUAAUUAAAAUUAAACUCUAUAAAUUUUUAAUAUAUUAAUUGAAUAAAUAUUUAUCUAAUUAAUAAUAAUAAUGAAAUUGUUAAUUACAAGUAUUUGUAGAAAGGUAAUUUGAUGGAUACAUUGGAUGAAUUUAUACCAUUAUAUGAUGUAUUAAUCAAUAAAAUAAAUAAAUAAUUAUAAUUAUUAAAAAGAUAAAUUCAUAUUAUACUAAUCAUUCAUAACUACAAAUAUAGGUAAUUAAUUAAUUAAUAAUUUUAUUACAUGGGUUCUUUCCGGUUUAUAUUUAAAAAUAAGUUGGAGUAUAUUUGUAUAUAUAAACUAAUAUGUUAAUUACAAUAAAAAGUGAGUACAUGUUAAAUUGGAGUACUUAAAUUUAUACAUUAUAAUAUAAAUUUUACAAACCCUAAAUUUGAUUUUCAUGUAAUUAAUUAAUUUUAACUAUAUAUAUAAAAUAAAAGAACGGACAAAAUGCAUUAAAACAUAUAAGAGAUUUUACUAGAACAAAAUUAUGGAAAGACAAAAUUUAUUACACUUGAUUUCUAUAUGAAUCGUAAAUAUUAUAAUUUCUCUAGUUCAUAAGUAACUUAUUAUCAUCAAACAAUUGACACAUGUUAAUAUCUCUUAGCUUAUUCUCGUUUCAAUCUCUGGCAUGUCAAAACGUUAGACUUCGUAAUUUUAAUUUUUGCUUGACUUUGAAUAUAUUUUCUGAAAAGAAAAUUCUUGAAGGAGAGAUAAAAUUGCUCAAAGUAAAAACUCAUUUAACUUCAAAACUUUUUAUUAUUGUGUCAUUGGAAAACCAAGUUCAUCCUAUCUAACAAUGUACACAUACACAUCACUUUAUGAUCUUAUCUACCACAAUGUACGUUGAUAGAAUCCUUUUCCAAAACAUUAUGACUAUUUUUCUAUUGACUAAUAAGUAACCACACGUAGAGAGAUUGAAUGCAUAUGCAUAUUUAUAUAUGUGUGUGUACAGAUCUACUUUUUAUUGACAUAAAUGCCGAAGGCUUUGGUGUGACUCAUUCCCUUUUCAAGUUUACAAAUAAUUCUUAAGGGUAUAUACUUAUUUGUUUAUCUUCACCGCAAAAUAAAUGUAUAUACUUAUUUAUAAAAUUAUUAGUUAAUCGUUAAAAAACACUUUUAUUCUCUAACAUUUCACCAUAUAAAACCUAGCUUUGUAAUGAUUUUUUUUAUACUUUCAAUUUUUAUAACAAUUUAGUCUAUGGUGUAAUAAUUUGGUUCUUUAUAUUUUCAAGUUUAUAACAUUUUACUUCUCUAAUGUAAUAUAUAUAAUUAGAUGGCAAUUUCUACAUUUUUACUAUAUAAACUUUGUAUUAUAUAAAAAUAAUUGAGUUUAUUAUAAUUUGUUUGUUAGUCUCAUUAAAUUUGAAAACAAAUUUCUAAAAUAAGGAUUUAAUUGUUGUAUGAUAAAGUUGAUUGAUCUAAAUUGUUGUAAAAUUGAGAGUAUAUGGACCAUGUGGUUGCAAAUCAAAAUUCAAAACCAAAAUUGUUACUUUUAUAAAAGUUAAGACAAAGUAUUUUUUAACCGUAAAUUUAUCUGAUUUAACUCUCAACAAUCUAGUUGAUAGACGAUUUAUAACGAACAAUACUCUCAAUUAUUGUUUGCCAACAAUUUUCAAAGUCCUUUGUUAGAAAAUUGAACUAAAAAAAAAGUUGUUAGGAUUAUUGUUUUCCAUUGAAAAAAAAAAUGCCAUCAAACUAUUGAUUAUAAGUAAAACAGAAGGAAAUUAUAUAAAUAAAAGAAUUACCACUUUGGAAAAUUAAUUUUAAAAGAAAAAGAAAACAAUUAGGAAAUAUAUGGAGUGUAUAAUUCAAAUUAAUUUGUAACGAUUGAUUCUAAUAACAUUUUUGUUUCUUAUUCUAAAAAGUAUUGGUUAUCAAUUAUUUAGUAAUAUAGCUUGGCAAUUAUUUCCAAUCACAUGAAGACAUAUAUAGACACAUAAUCAAUAGAUACAAUUUGGGUAUAAACUCCUUAAAUAACGCCACCAUCAUCCCCUUAAAUAUAAUCAUUUGCUUUUCUUUUUUUUUAUUUUAUUCUUAUUAAAAUUACAUUUUGUUUUGUUUUUUUUAAUUUAUUUUUCAUUUUUGUUUUAAAUAUUACAAUUUGUUUCAAUUUGAUUCCUAAAAUUUUAAGAUUUAUACUUUUUAUUAAUGUUUAGAGAAUUAAAUACUAAAACACAUUUUGUUUCAUUCUAUGAGAAUUAAGAAACCAAGGUUAUAAUUAUUAAAUAGUUAUGAAAGAAUGUGAUAUAGUUAAAUAAGUGUUUGAAUAAAUUUCUCUUACUAUCAGAUAUUUAUUAUAUACAACAGUAUUGACCAUUUUGACACAUUAACUUAAUUUAUAAAUUGAUGGACUUUUUAUUAUUGUUAUUAUUAUUGGUAUUGAAAUAAGAAAAAUAAAAUCAAAACUUGUUGAGGAAGCAUACACACAUGAGCGAAGACUGAGUUGUCAAUGACUCAUUUUAUAAAAUCACUAUUUCUUUUUUCACUCUCAUUUAUGCAAAGUUACCAUUUAAUUAAAUUGCACCAUCUUCUUCUUAAACAAAUACUAAUAAUUAUUUGAUUAGACAAUUGCAAAUGUAUCCAUAAAAAUAAUUGCCUUUAAGAAAAACGUUAAAAGAAUUUGUAAAUAUAAUGACAAUUCUUAGAAACACAAUCUAUCACUCUUAUCACUAAUGAACUUUUGUUCAUAUCAACGUUGUUACAUAGCUAAUUAAUUAUUAGCUUUUGAAAAUAAUAUAAUGACAAUCAUCUUUAACUUAAAUAUGAUAGUCUAUGUUUAGAGUGCAAAGUCUUUUAGUUUACUUAUACUAAUUUCAUCUAUGUUUGAAUGUAGACUAUUUUAAUCUAAGUAUAAAAUAGUAAACAAUAACAUAGCAAGGUAGGAUUUUGAAAUAGUAAUAUUAUAAUCAGUUAUAUGUCAUAAUAGUUGAAAACACUGGAUACGAUAAUUUAAUACUCAAUAUAUAAAAUGAUUUAUAAUAACUCAUUCACCGACUUUAUUUUGAUCUCUCCAACAUAUCUUUAGAUUUUUUUUCCUCGUUACAAUCACCUUUAUUCUGAACAUGGAAAAAUUGACAAACAUGAUGUAUCCCCUUUUUCAUAUAGAGUAAAAAAGUCAGAUAAUUAGUUUACAAACAUAUAGCAAAAUGUCAUAGUUUGUGAUUGUGGACUAUUACAGUAUGUCUAUCAUUGGUAGAAAUAAGAGUUUAUUUGAGUAAUAUAUUAUAAAAUUUUGGUAGAUUUAUAAAUAUUUUGAUUUGUUUUAGGUAGAGUAUAGAAAAAGGUGAUAGGUAAAGUGCAAUAGAUUUAUUAAAUGGGGAGUGUACUGGAAGAAAUAAAAUGGUAAAUAUUUGUUUGGGGUUCAAAACAAAUUUGAAAGGAAAAAAGAAAAAGUAAAGGCACGUGGGUGUGGGACUAAGAAAGGAAGGGCGAGUGAAACAAAGAGCCAUGAUAUUCACACAACACACAAGUAGAACAAGUCAAACUCCAUAACUUUAUAUCAUUUCAUUUUUUCUUUAUACCAUUUAAUAAUUUCGUGGGUCCUUCCAAGUACCUCUUCUCUAACUUCCUUCUUUAUAAUAAUAAUAAUAUUACUCUAAAACCAAACCAAACACCAUUUCAUCACUUCCCCUCUCCUUCCCCCCUCCCACCAAAAUCAGACUCUGAUCCCCAUCCCCCUAUGGGCAACCUCUGCGCCACUCCCGUCGAUACCCACACCCCUCCCCCCACUAUUCCUUCCUCCCCAGGUCAUCAUCAUCACUCUCUUUCUUCUUUUUUCCCCCUUUUAUAAUAUCCAUUCAUUCAUUGUAAUUUAGAUCUAUGUUUGUUUGUUUGUUUGUUGGUUGGUGCAGUGAGUUCUAAUCGACAUGGUUCGACGCAGCCGCAGAACCUUAGAGUUUACAGCCUGACGGAGCUCAAAACGGCCACCAAGAACUUCCGGCCGGAUACUAUGCUGGGGGAGGGGGGAUUUGGAAGGGUUUUUAAAGGAUGGGUUGAUGAGGCCACCUAUGCUCCGUCUAAGGUCGGGGUCGGAAUUCCCGUCGCCGUUAAAAAGUCAAACCCCGAUAGCUCCCAGGGUCUACGCGAAUGGAAGGUCAUUUUUUCCACCCCUCACUUUAUUAAUUAAUUGAUUGAUUAAAUUUAGUUGGUUUCUCUUUUUUCUUCCUUUUCAUACAUUAAAACUCAUUCUAAUAAUCAAACCCCCUCUUCUUUUUGGAUUUUGUGUGCAGUUUAAGAAAUGUGAUGUGUGCUUUUUUUAUUUGUAAACACAAUAAAAUUAUUAAUUAUUAUAUUAUUAUAUUAUUUAAGGGAUGGAAAUUUUAAAACUAAACACUAAUCUUAAAAUAAUAGCAAAUAGGGGAGAGAUGAGAAAUGUAUUUCCCAUCUCCAUUUUCUUUUUAUUUGUGACAAAUUUUGUCCAAACAGUCUUGAGUGUUUAAUUUUUUCAUAAAGUAAAUAAUGUAUGAGAUCCAACUUCAUCUUGUUAAUUGUUAAUAUUAUGUUUGUAUUAUUAAUUUUUUAGGAAGUAACAAAUAAUAAUUAGUGAUUUGAUUAUUUAAAACAGGCAGAAGUAGAAUUUUUGGGGAAAUUCAGCCAUCCGAAUGUGGUGAAGUUGAUCGGAUAUUGUUGGGAAGAAAAGCAAUUCCUUCUGGUGUACGAAUACAUGCAGAGGGGUAGUUUGGAAAACCACUUAUUCCGAAGUAAGAAUGAAUUUGAUUUCCUCUUCGAAACUCUCAUUCUACGUAUCUUAGUGUGAAAUUAACUAAAACAUUUUGAUAACUUUUGUAGAAGGUGUAGAACCUCUACCAUGGGAAACACGAAUUAAAAUAGCCACUGGGGCGGCUUGUGGUUUAACGUUCCUCCAUACAUCUGAGAAGAGCGUUAUAUACCGGGAUUUUAAGGCCUCAAACAUUCUUCUGGACGGGGUAUGAAAUGAAAUUACAUCUUCGUAGUAGGUUAAUAUGAUUAAUGAAUGAAUUAUGAUUGAGGUUUAAUUGAUGUGUUUAUUUCUUCAGAAUUUCAACCCGAAAUUAUCAGACUUUGGGCUAGCGAAACUGGGGCCAUCCAAUGGUAACUCCCAUGUUAGCACAAACCCAGUUGGCACCUACGGAUAUGCUGCCCCUGAGUACAUUGCAACUGGUGCUCUCUCUAACCUUAUCCUCCUCUCCCACCUACCCCUCCCUUCUCUUUAUUACUUUAGCCUUUUAAAAUCUAAUGUCACUGAUAGUAUUGAAAUGACUGAUUCCACAGGACAUUUGUAUAUAAAAAGUGACGUGUAUGGGUUCGGCGUGGUUCUCCUGGAGCUACUGACAGGACUACGGGCAGUGGACCCAAACCGGCCGAGUGGUUCACACAACUUAGUGGGUUGGGCGGAGCCAUCACUGAGCAGCAAGAAGAAGGUCAAGAAACUAAUAGACCCAAGGCUUGGGGACGACUACUCGCCCAAAGGAGCCUGGGCCACAGCCGAACUGAUCUUAAAAUGUUUGGAAUCGGACCCAAGAAAACGGCCCUCCAUGGAAGAAGUUUUGGUCAUUCUAGAAAGAAUUAGUUCGUUUAAAGACAGGCCCAAGGAGCCCAAAUCAAGGGCAAGGACGCCCAGCCAUUAUUGACUUGUGGGCUCGCUCCUCCAACCACUCAAAGCCCAAUACUAUUCUGAUUGGAGGCCCAUUUAGAUUGAAAUUCACUCUUACGUGGAUUUGGCCCAUUUAAGUGGUUAUUAUGUGUUAUUAUUUACACCUUUUCUUUUUGUUUUAAGUUUGUAGAUGUGAUAGUGUAUGUAAUCAAAGUUAGUCUCCCUCACUUUUUCUUAGUUUUUUUGUGCUUUAUAACAUAUGAAAAUUUUUAGAAAGUAUUUUUUAUUCUCUUUGGGGAGAGAAAGCAUUUAAUUUGGGUUCUAUUUUGAAACCAAAUAAUAAUUUAGUUCUUAAUGCUUACAUCUUCUUCAUUAUCAAAUUUCUAUUUUAGAACCCAUUUUAACCCUAACUUCACAUUUCAAAAGGUUCCUAUUAUUUUUAUUUUAACACUAAUUUCAUGUUUUAUUAACUAUUUAACAAACACUACUAAUGAAAGCACUAAAUUGGAUACUUUUCAAAUGUUAUUGGAGGGUUUGAUUGUCCAAUUUUCGAACUUUAAGACUAAAUUUACCGUCUCAAAUUAGUUCAUACAUUUUUUUUAGUCUAGAAGUUGACAAAUUGAACUCACCAAGUUGGAUACACAAUUAUGAUUAUCAACCGAAGACAAGUGGAGACAUCAACCAAACCAUAUAUAUAUAUAUAUAUAUAUAUAUAUAUUUACAAAAUAAUCAAAGAAAAAAAAAAGAUCAAAGGCAAACAAAAGUGAUGGACUAAAAUGCGAUUCAUUACAAUAACUCAAAGGAGAAUAUAAUACAUCGAAAUUGGUUUUUGAUAUGGAAGUAGAAAGCAAAAGGUAUUACAGGUAGAACUUUUCUCUCAUCAUCUCCCCACCAACACCAAAGGAGAGAAAAGAAAAGGAGAAAUUAAAUAACCCAAAUUUAUUUUUUAAGAAGCAACCAAAGUUGAUAAAACACAUCCAAUUUGGCAGCCCCAUUCAAGAGACAACAGCAAAGUUUAACAACCAAAUUAAAAACAUAAGAACUUUAGUUUUGUUUAACAGAGAGAUGCAUUUCACGAUGAUGAUCAUCAUGUUCUUCCUCCUCCAUAAGAUAGUAGUUCUAGUUUUGUAGACAUGCCCUUAGAUCUUCUUACAAAUAUUAACAACAUACAUGUUGGCCAUAAACAUUGUUGGGUCUUUCUUAGAUGUUUGGCCUCACAUUCAUACGAGAUGCUAUUUUUUGGCCCAAUGACCUGUCAGCCUGUCAUGUACAUUACCAUAAUAAUAUUCAUUAAUUAACACAAACAUAGCUUCUUAAGUACCUUAAUUAACUUAUUUUGGGUGGUUCAUUUUAUAUAUACCUGACUCCAAUACGAGAUCCAUAUGUUGCGAACUUCGUGUGUGACACGCGGGUCCGAUAACGCUUCCACAAAACGUCUCACGAAUCGUUCUUGUCUGUAUUACCAUAUUAUAAAAACAAAAACUCAAAGUCACAUUCUGUUUGAUUGUCAAAUCGUAAUUUAGUAUUUCGUGCUGAAUUCAAAUAGUUUGAAGACAAUAGUUGGUACGAUAUAUGGUACCUGUCUGGUGCCCAUGAUCGGUAUCUGUCUCCAGCUUGCUUGAAGUUAUGAUUCUCUUUCGGAAUCACACACUGAAAAAAAAAAUGAAUCAAUCAAUCCCUUCCCUACCACUAAUGGCUGUCUCUAUCUUUAAUCACUCAUUCACUCCAUUAUUUAUUUAAACACACUGACCCUUUCUCUUUUUCCGCUGAGCACAUUGGGCGGCAUCGGGAACUUCUCAGCAUGACGACAAGGAUCAUAUCUCGAGGGGAAGUAAUUCACCUGAUCAUCAUAGUCAUAAACAACAAUUAAAAAAACAAACAAACAAAAAUUAGAUUAAACUAAGAGAAUUAAACAAAUUACCUCCUCAUCUCUAUGCAUAAAGUUCAUAAAACCCUCAUGAUGAUUAUUAUGGUGAGGACAUUUGGGAGCAUUAACAGGCAACUGAAGAUAGUUAGGACCAAGUCUAUGCCUUUGUGUAUCCGCAUACGCAAAGCUUCUCGCUUGCAACAUCUUAUCAUCCGAAUAAUGUAUCCCCGGCACCAACGACAUAGAGAAAGCCAACAUCUCAUUCUCCGCAAAGAAAUUAUCGAUAUUUUUGUUCAACACCAAUCUCCCCACCGGCUGUAACGGAAUCACAUCCUCCGGCCAUUCUAUCGUCGUAUCCAACGGCUCAAAAUCAAAAUUAUUCUGAUCAUCAUAAUCAAUAGUCUGUAUGUAAAGCCUCCACUCCGGAAAAUUCCCUGCCGCAAUCGACUCGUACAAAUCCUGAGUGGCGUGACUGUGAUUCGUCCCACCAAUUCUAAUAGCCUCCUCUUCCAGCAUGCUUUUAACCCCGCAAGUUGGUUUCCAGUGGAAUUUCACAAGACGGGCCUUACCGGAUUUGUUGAUUAGGGAAUAUGCUUGUACGCCGAACCCUUCCAUGUGACGGUAAUUGAUUGGAAUGCCAACGUCGUCGUAAAACCAAGCGAAAGACAGAAGGCUUUCGGGAUGGUAAGAGCAGAAAUCCAGAAUUCUCCAUGGUUCUUGGAUGUGGGAUUUUGGGUUGGGUUUAAAGGCACGAAUUACGUCAGGGAACUGCAUGGCAUCACGAACGAAGAAGACCGGGAAGUUGUUGCCGACUAUAUCAAAGUUGCCUUCACGGGUGUAGAAUUUGACGGCGAAUCCACGGGGGUCACGGAGGGUUUCGGGGCUGCCGCGUUCGUGGAUGACGGUGGAGAAACGGACGAUGACGGGGGUUUGGACGCCUGGGGCACGGAGGAAGUCGGCGCAGGUUAAGUCGGAGACGUCGUGGGUAACUUCGAAGAAACCUUUGGCGCUGGCACCACGAGCGUGGACCACUCGUUCAGGAAUUCUUUCGCGGGUGAAGGUGGCGAUUUUUUCGAUGAGUUGGUAAUCUUCUAACAGGAUUGGGCCUCGUUCUCCGACGGACAUUACGGCGGUGUUGUUCCAUACUGGUGCACCGGAGUUUGUUGUGCAGAAUGGGGUGUUGUACGCACUUGAUGGACGGUACUGUACAAUUAAAUCAACACCAAAAAUUAAAUAAUGCAAUCCGUUUGAACAAACCAAGUUGUGAAGUUUUAUCAAAAGAACGAUCUUAAAUUUCAGUUGCAAUCUUGAAACACACUCUUAAUUUGAUACUCAAAACUAUGCAUCGUUGACGGUUAAUAUAUCCAUAAACUUGGACAAUUAUACGCUCUUAAUUAAUUAUGGAAUACAACACUCCGCCCCAAAUAAAUUUUAACUUAUUUUAGUGCCAAAAUUUUAUUAUAAUAUUAGAAAAUUGUGAUUGUUUGUUUAAAAUAAUGGAAUUAUUAUUUUAAAUGUUAAAACUCAUAAACAUAUACCCAACUCUAAUAGAUUGCAAUCUAUAUGUAACUAAAAUAAACAUAGAUAGUAUACAGUCAAGAUCUAUCCGGUUAAAAUUUUGUUAUAAUUAUAAAUAUUUAUAUUUAUUUUUGUAUAUUGAUAAUGCAUUAACUUUAUUUUAUUAAGUUUACCUUUACUUUUCAAAUAUUUAGCAAUACAUUCUAGAAAAAUUAUUUUUAAAUAACAUAUAAGUGUUUAAAAUAUUUACUAAUGUAUCAAAAUUUUAUUCUUAUAUACAUUUAGCUAUAAAUGUCAACCAAAUAGUGGGAGUAGUUGUUUUCUUUUUUCUAAAUAUUAUUUUUAAUAAAACAUACUAUUAAAAAAUUGUCAAAAUAGUAAAAUAAAUAAAAUACAUUAAAAAUCAAAUCUGAUGAAAUUAAGUUUUUUUUUUUCUAGAAAGUGUAAAUGUUUGAUUUUUUUACUUUUUAGAAAACCCAUAUACUAUUUUGCUACUAUAAUGCAGCUGAAACUCAUCUUUCUUAUAGUAUACAUAUUUCCUUCGUGUAUAAUAUAGAUCAGUUCAUAUAACAUCGAGAUCAAUAAAAGUUCAAUACAACUAACACAUGUACAUGUGAAGACAAGAGGUUAUUGAUCCAAAUCUCUCCAAUAAUUUGUAUCAAAAUGAUUAAUAUAGUAUGGAGUAGGUGUGAGCAAGUGGGAUUUGUUUGAGUAAUUAAAGUAAAAGGUUAAAAUUAUUAAUAAAGAUGAGUUAGUAAAUAUAAUAAUUAUAUGAAAGAUAGGGUUGCAAAAAUAGCAAUAAAAAUGAUGAUUAGAACAAGUAAACACAAAGAAAAAGAAAUUGAUAUAAUUAUCCACUUAACUAAUAAUAUUUGCAAAAGAUGGAUCAACAUAAAUACAAACCUCACUAAUUUUUUUAUUAGUGAAAAGAUUGGAACUUAAUUUUGUAUUGAUUCAAUCCAUUUCAUAGAUUCUCCGGUAAUAUAAAAACACACACAUCAGAUUGCAUAAAGAAUUCAAAUAUAUAUAAAAGUUUCUUUUCAAUUCUUUUUUCUCCAAAGAAUAUUUGACCCGACUUGACUACGUUUUCAAAAACACAAAAUCAAAGGCGAUAUGACACGACAAACGUCCGAUCGGGUCGGUUCCGACCCGAUCCGUGUCAAAAUGGGAAAUACGGCCGUCGCCGUACAUCUAACAUCACACGAUCUCCGGCGAACAAAUCCUAAGUGUUAAAGAGUAAUAAAAUGGGGAAAACGAGGGCAGGCGCAUUGAAGAAGAAAUUAAAGGCAACAAUUACCUUGUAAGGAUCCAUGGCGGUGGAGAGGAAGAAAAAAGAAGAGUUAGAGUUUGGGAAGAAAAUGGAAGUAGUGCAGAAGGAAGUGUAGGAGAAGGUGGGGUUUUUAUGGUUGAAUUUCUACAGUUUGGUUCUUAUAAUUUUUUACCGACGGUUGAUUGAGUGUCGUUUGGAGGUAAAAGAAAAGUCGACAAGUCGAAGCGUAGUUAUCUAUUUGUCUAAGGAGUAGUGUAGGGCCUAAUUUGUGAUCGCAAUCCAGUGAUGGCCAAUGAGAGAAGGCUUUUAGGAGCGUGGCAAAAUGGGAAGAUAUUUUUGGAGGGUAUUUUUGUCCAUUGCCAUGCCUAAUUUGUCAUUUCUUAAUCAUAG